AUGGUGCUCGCCCGCAAGAAGCUGAAGCAGAAGCUCCACACGCUCCUCCCCGGCGGGGGCGCCGAGGGGGAGGCCGCCGCGGAGGCGAGGAAGAUAAAGGUGCGGCUGGUGGCCUCCAAGCGGCCCCGGCCCAAGCGUCCGGGGCCCCGCCCUCCCCGGACCAAGAGUGCCAAGAACAAGAAGGCGUCUCCGGAGAAGUCACCCGCUCCGGCGGUGGACGUGGAGGACCCGGAGGAGAAGGCGGAGGAGGAGCCGGCGGUGGACGUUGCGGAGGGCCUGGAGGAGCCUGCCGUGGGCGAGGGGGAACCUGCGUCGAAGGCGGAGCUGGAGCGACGGAGGAAGGAGAGGAGGAAGGAGGAGAAGGAGAAGAGGAAGAAGAAGAAGGAGAAGAUGCGGGCGAGGAAGUUGGCGGAGGCGGAGGCCGCCGCGAACAAGAAGUCCGAGGAAGAGCCGGGGAAGCAGGGCCUUGAAGCUGACGGUGCUGAGGACCUGGAGGAGCUGGAGGUGGACGAGGCGGCCCUGGCGCAGAAGGCGGAGGUGAUGCGGCGGAGGGAGGAGAGGAGGAAGGAGAAGAAGGAGAAGAGGAGGGUCAGGAGACUGAUGGAGGCGGAGGCGGCGGCGAACAAGAAGUCUGAUGAAGAGGCGGAGGAGCAGGACGUGGAAGUGGCCGGCGCUGAUCCGGCCGUGCCAGACGACAGUGAACACAAUCUAGACGCCACAAAGGUGGAAGGAGAGGCGAAGGAAAUUAAGUCAGAAGAGGUGAAGAAAAUCAAGUCAGAAGAGCCUGGCCAGGCAGGUGUAUCUGACAAUCCAAUUGCGCCGCAUGAUAGUGAGCAAAGUAUAAAGAAGGUGUAUGUUGGUGGCAUCCCGUACUAUUCAUCUGAGGAUGACAUUAGAAGUUUCUUUGAAGGAUGUGGAAGUAUCACUGCGCUGGACUGCAUGACAUUUCCUGACACCGGGAAAUUCAGGGGUAUUGCCAUUCUCACAUUCAAGACUGAUGCCGCUGCAAAAAGGGCAUUGGCUCUUGAUGGUGCAGAUAUGGGAGGAUUCCUUUUGAAAGUCCAGCCUUACAAAGCUAACCGCGAAAAGGUCAAAUCUAACCAUGAGAAGGAAGAUUUUGCACCAAAGAUGAUAGAGGGAUACAAUAGGACAUAUGUUGGAAACCUAGCUUGGGACGUAACAGAGGAUGAUCUGAGGAAGUUCUUUUCUGAUUGCAAGAUCUCAUCCGUCCGUUUUGGAACAGACAAGGAGACAGGUGAAUUCAAAGGCUUCGCGCAUGUUGAUUUUUCUGAUAGCACAUCUCUUGCUAUUGCUCUGAAGCUUGACCAGAACGUGAUUAAGGGGAGACCAGCCAGAAUCAGAUGUGCCGUUCCAAAGAAAGAAAACCAGAAACCAAAUGACAAUGCGGCAACUUCAGAUUCAUCAAAGAACAACAUCCGUACAUGUUAUGAAUGUGGCACUCCUGGCCAUCUAUCUUUUGCUUGCCCUAAUAAGAAGGUUUCUGAAGUCAUAUCCAGUGAAAAUAAGGAUAAUACUGAUUCAGCUGAAGCAUUGUCGAAGAAGAGGCGCACGUGUUAUGAAUGUGGCGUUCCUGGCCAUAUAUCGUCAGCUUGCCCCAACAAAAAGGCUUCUGAAGUCAUAGCUGAUGAAACUAAGGCCAAUAUUGACUCUGCCACAACAGCAUCGAAGAAGAGACGGACAUGCUAUGAAUGUGGCAUUCCUGGUCAUCUGUCAUCUGCUUGCCCAAAUAAAAGUGCUCCUGAAGUCAUAGCUGAUGACUAUAAGGCCAAUACUGAAUCUGCCACAACAGCGUCGAAGAAGAGACGGACAUGCUAUGAAUGUGGCAUUCCUGGUCAUCUAUCAUCUGCUUGCCCAAAUAAAAGUGCUCCUGAAGUCAUAGCUGAUGAAAAUAAGGCCAAUACUGAAUCUGCCUCAACAGCGUCGAAGAAGAGACGGACAUGCUAUGAAUGUGGCGUCUCCGGUCAUCUCUCGUCAGCUUGCCCCAACAAAAAGGCCACUGAGAUUAAUCCUGAGGAAGCAGCUAAACCUGUUGGUGGCUCAAGUACGGAACCUUCAGCCGUUUCUGGUGAAAAUAAACCUAGUGACGACACAAGCUCUGCGCCUCCAAAGAAAAAGAAGAGAAGGACGUGCUAUGAAUGCGGCAUAGCUGGUCAUCUCUCAUCAGAAUGCCCCAACAAGGCCAAAUGA
rnacentral:rRNA from 1 species